UAACUAUCUCCGUCUCUUUUGCCUUUUUGUGUUUUCAGCCAUCGGUCUCACGGAUCAUCAUCACCAUCAUCAUCAUCACAUUCACAAGAGACACAGCCAGCCAGCCCCCCUUUACACUUCUCUCUCUCUCUCUCUCCUCUCGGUCUUUGUGGCUUUUUGGGUCUGAAAAAAAGAAGACAAGGCUUUGAUCAAUCAUACGCUUAUUAGUAUUGCAAAAGAAGCAAAUUCAUUCAAAGCAAGACACCCAAAAGGCAGCCACAACUUUCAACUGAAAAAAAGAAAAAGAAAUUCGAAGUACGACCCUCAAAGUGUCUCCCCUUGAAAGGGAAUGAACUGGUUUUGUUGAAGAAGACAAAGGAGUUGCAGAUAAUAUAUCAGGCAAGAUGGGUUCUUUCCCAGGUCAUGCUCUGCCAGGGACGUUGUUUUUUGUAGUUGGGGUAUGGCACGUAUGGAGCUCGUUGGUGAGAUAUGUAUCCAACCCCAAGUCCUUCCGAGUUCGGGUAUGGAGUCCUGUGCCGGGUUUUGAUGGGAGGCUCAAGUAUUUGGAGCUUUAUAUUAUAGCUAUUGGUACUUUCAUUGAUAUGUGUAUCGAGCUUUUGUAUUCGACCCAUCUCAAGUUCUUUGUCAAUGGAGUCUUGAACCCUUCUCACAUGAAUGAUUUUGAGCACUCUGGAAUGCUUCUUAUGUUCUUUAUCUUUGGCGUUGUCAGUCUGCUGUCAGAGAAGACAAGAUUUCUUCCAUUGCCUGAAGGAGCUCUUUGUCUGAUUGCUGCCACAGCAUUCUGUGCAGAGUAUCUUCUGUUCUACUUUCACUCAACAACUCAUAAAGGCCUCGAGGGUUAUUACCACAUCCUCCUUGUCCUUCUAAUUGGGCUCUGCAUAUUAUCGACUGUUGCUGGAGCCCUCUUACCAACCAGCUUUCCAAUUGAUUUAUGUAGCGGUAUUGCCAUGACUCUACAAGGCCUCUGGUUUUAUCAGACUGCAUUCACUCUCUAUGGCCCCAUGAUGCCAGAUGGUUGUCAGCUUAAGGAUGAUAUGAUCUCAUGUCAUUCUGUGGACAAUGAGGUCCGGGGUGAGUUGCUUGCAAACUUCCAGUUCUUUGUCCUGGUUCUUGGUGUACUUAUUGCAGUUGUGGGAGGAUAUGGUUUUGUUGCUUCAAGAUUUGGCCAUUCAGAUCCAAGGAGCUUGCGUGCAGUAUAAGAUGUAUUGGUUGAAGAUCGAAAUAGGGGUACGCUAGCUUAUCCUUGUUGUAUAUAUUUUUGUUGCAAUGUUGGCAGUGGAAUAAGUUGAAAUAACCCAAAAACAAAAAGGGAUGAAAAGCAUUCCUGAGGUUUCUAAUGAAUAUCUGCGGAAAAAAAAGAAAAAAAACUAAUGCUUACGGGAGGGAAAAGCUCAAACAUGGAUUUGGAGUUUGAGGGUCAUCAAAUAUGUGGAUGUAGAGUUUGGCAUUCAUAACAUCAAAGAUACAAAUGGAAAUUUUUGUCAAAUAAUGUAGAGGCCUUUGUUCAAAGUCAUGUUUCUCUUAGUUUGGGCCAAAAUUGACUCGGGCAAAUUCCAUAGCUUCAAAAAGAGAUAAAUUAAAGAUUGGCCACAGAAAAGCAAGGAGGAAGCAAGAGAUACAGUUUCUCUCAAACAGAUUUGAUCAACUUGAUUUCUAGUUUCUCAACAACCUUCUUGCUUUCACUUCUUCAUUUCCAGUCGACAACUUCUAAGAAAUUUUUUGUUCGUUUGCUCUGCUUCUUCUUUGGGUUGGUAUGAUUUCUAGUUGACAUUCAGUUCAAACUAUGAUUAUCUAAAGUUCUAUUGCAUUUUUAGUUUAGGUAAGUCCAAUUCGAGCUUGGCUUAGUCAUUUUGCUUCUCUUUUACUUGUAUUUCAAUCUGAUCGGAUUUGUUUCACUUGUUAUCUUAGUUUGUAACGUCCAUUUGGACCCAAUUUUACUACCAUUAAAAGAA